rnacentral:rRNA from 1 species
CCUACGGGUGGCAGCAGUGGGGAAUCUUGCACAAUGGGCGAAAGCCUGAUGCAGCGACGCCGCGUGGGGGAUGAAGCUUCUCGGAGUGUAAACCCCUUUCGACCCGGACGAAUACCUCGCAAGAGGGGUGACGGUAUGGGUAUAAGAAGCCCCGGCUAACUACGUGCCAGCAGCCGCGGUAAGACGUGGGGGGCCAGCGUUGCUCGGAAUUACUGGGUGUAAAGGGUCAGUAGGCGGUGUGGCAAGUCGGGAGUGAAAUCUCUGGGCUUAACUCAGAGACUGCUUCCGAAACUGCUGUGCUUGAGUAUGGGAGAGGCGCGUGGAAUUGCAGGUGUAGCGGUGAAAUGCGUAGAUAUCUGCAGGAACACCCGUGGCGAAAGCGGCGCGCUGGACCAUAACUGACGCUGAAGGACGAAAGCUAGGGGAGCAAACAGGAUUAG